AAAGAGAUCCCAAACAGAUCCAUUUUCUUUUGCAACUAUAAUGGUAAAUAAAACAAAUGGGAACUCUUUGCUUGGCCAAUAUAAACGAUGGCAACCCAAAGCACAUUAUGAGCUUGAAUGCCAAUUCUGAUAGAGUUCUCUUCCAUUAUAAUGGACAUGGUGUGCCAAAACCAACUGCUAAUGGUGAAAUUUGGGUAUUCAAUAAGUCUGGAAUCAAUACAAUUUGGUACCAAUCGGUAGUAGUGGAUUGGCUUAGAGUGAUGCCUACUGGGUACUCAACCAUUGUCAAUCUUUAACUAGACUC